rnacentral:rRNA from 1 species
GACAGAGGGGGCAAGCGUUGCUCGGAAUUACUGGGCGUAAAGGGCGCGUAGGCGGGAUGGCAAGUCGGUCGUGAAAACUUGGGGCUUAACCCUGAGCUUGCGGUCGAUACGGGCAUGACUGGAGUUCGGUAGGGGAGACUGGAAUUCCUGGUGUAGCGGUGAAAUGCGCAGAUAUCAGGAGGAACACCGGUGGCGAAGGCGGGUCUCUGGGCCGAUACUGACGCUGAGGAGCGAAAGCGUGGGGAGCGAACAGG